CAGUAGCCGCGGGAAUACCGAGGGUGCGAGCGUUAAUCGGAUUUACUGGGCGUAAAGCGUGCGUAGGCGGCUAAUUGAGUCGGAUGUGAAAUCCCCGAGCUUAACUUGGGAAUUGCAUUCGAUACUGGUUAGCUAGAGUGUGGGAGAGGAUGGUAGAAUUCCAGGUGUAGCGGUGAAAUGCGUAGAGAUCUGGAGGAAUACCGAUGGCGAAGGCAGCCAUCUGGCCUAACACUGACGCUGAGGUACGAAAGCAUGGGGAGCAAACAGGAUUAGAGACCCCAGUAGUCCCUGUCUCUUAUAC
rnacentral:rRNA from 1 species